rnacentral:rRNA from 1 species
ACAAUGAAGCGAGUGGCGAACUGGUGAGUAACACGUGGGRAAUCUGCCCAGAAGCAGGGGAUAACACUUGGAAACAGGUGCUAAUACCGUAUAACAACAAAAUCCGCAUGGAUUUUGUUUGAAAGGUGGCUUCGGCUAUCACUUCUGGAUGAUCCCGCGGCGUAUUAGUUAGUUGGUGAGGUAAAGGCCCACCAAGACGAUGAUACGUAGCCGACCUGAGAGGGUAAUCGGCCACAUUGGGACUGAGACACGGCCCAAACUCCUACGGGAGGCAGCAGUAGGGAAUCUUCCACAAUGGACGAAAGUCUGAUGGAGCAAUGCCGCGUGAGUGAAGAAGGGUUUCGGCUCGUAAAACUCUGUUGUUAAAGAAGAACACCUUUGAGAGUAACUGUUCAAGGGUUGACGGUAUUUAACCAGAAAGCCACGGCUAACUACGUGCCAGCAGCCGCGGUAAUACGUAGGUGGCAAGCGUUGUCCGGAUUUAUUGGGCGUAAAGCGAGCGCAGGCGGUUUUUUAAGUCUGAUGUGAAAGCCUUCGGCUUAACCGGAGAAGUGCAUCGGAAACUGGGAGACUUGAGUGCAGAAGAGGACAGUGGAACUCCAUGUGUAGCGGUGGAAUGCGUAGAUAUAUGGAAGAACACCAGUGGCGAAGGCGGCUGUCUAGUCUGUAACUGACGCUGAGGCUCGAAAGCAUGGGUAGCGAACAUGAUUAUAUACCCUGGUA